rnacentral:snRNA from 1 species
UCAUACCAUCAUCACCAUCACCA